ensembl:snRNA U5 U5 spliceosomal RNA
ACGCUUGUUUCUCUUCAGAUCGCAUAAAUCUUUCACCUUUUACUAAAGAUUUCCACGGAGAGGGACAAAUCCAAGUUUUAGCUCAAUUUUUUGAGGUCCUUUAUUACAAGGGUU